rnacentral:rRNA from 1 species
CACACGACUCUCAGCAACGGAUAUCUCGGCUCUCGCAUCGAUGAAGAACGUAGCAAAAUGCGAUACCUGGUGUGAAUUGCAGAAUCCCGCGAACCAUCGAGUUUUUGAACGCAAGUUGCGCCCGAGGCCUUCUGGCUGAGGGCACGUCUGCCUGGGCGUCACGC